GAUGAACGCUGGCGGCGUGCCUAACACAUGCAAGUCGAGCGAUUCUCUUCGGAGAAGAGCGGCGGACGGGUGAGUAACGCGUGGGUAACCUGCCCUGUACACACGGAUUACAUACCGAAAGGUAUGCUAAUACGGGAUAACAUAUUUUAGUCGCAUGGCUGAGAUAUCAAAGCUCCGGCGGUACAGGAUGGACCGGCGUCUGAUUAGCUAGUUGGUGAGGUAAUGGCUCACCAAGGCGACGAUCAGUAGCCGACCUGACAGGGUGAUCGGCCACACUGGAACUGAGACACGCUCCAGACUCCUACGGGAGGCAGCAGUGGGGAAUAUUGCACAAUGGGCGAAAGCCUGAUGCAGCAACGCCGCGUGAGCGAUGAAGGCCUUCGGGUCGUAAAGCUCUGUCCUCAAGGAAGAUAAUGACGGUACUUGAGGAGGAAGCCCCGGCUAACUACGUGCCAGCCGCCGCGC
rnacentral:rRNA from 1 species